rnacentral:rRNA from 1 species
UGGGGAAUUUUCCGCAAUAGGCGAAAGCCUGACGGAGCAAUGCCGCGUGGAGGUGGAAGGCCUACGGGUCGUCAACUUCUUUUCUCGGAGAAGAAACAAUGACGGUAUCUGAGGAAUAAGCAUCGGCUAACUCUGUGCCAG